CAACCCUCAGGCCCCCAGUGCCUGGUGUUGGGGAUCGGCCCAGCCUUCCUGUAAGGCCGCCGGCCCCGAAAUCUAGUGGCGGUCUCGCUGUAGUCCUCCUCUGCGUAGUAGCACAACCUCGCAGUUGGAACGCGGCGGUGGCCAUGCCGUUAAACACCCCACUUCUGAA
rnacentral:misc_RNA from 2 species